GAUGAACGCUGGCGGCGUGCCUAAUACAUGCCAGUCGAGCGAACAGACGAGGAGCUUGCUCCUCUGACGUUAGCGGCGGACGGGUGAGUAACACGUGGAUAACCUACCUAUAAGACUGGGACAACUUCGGGAAACCGGAGCUAAUACCGGAUAAUAUAUUGAACCGCAUGGUUCAAUAGUGAAAGACGGUUUUGCUGUCACUUAUAGAUGGAUCCGCGCCGCAUUAGCUAGUUGGUAAGGUAACGGCUUACCAAGGCGACGAUGCGUAGCCGACCUGAGAGGGUGAUCGGCCACACUGGAACUGAGACACGGUCCAGACUCCUACGGGAGGCAGCAGUAGGGAAUCUUCCGCAAUGGGCGAAAGCCUGACGGAGCAACGCCGCGUGAGUGAUGAAGGUCUUCGGAUCGUAAAACUCUGUUAUUAGGGAAGAACAAAUGUGUAAGUAACUAUGCACGUCUUGACGGUACCUAAUCAGAAAGCCACGGCUAACUACGUG
rnacentral:rRNA from 1 species